AGAGAUUGAACAUAAGAGUUUGAUCCUGGCUCAGAUUGAACGCUGGCGGCAUGCUUUACACAUGCAAGUCGGACGGCAGCACAGAGAAGCUUGCUUCUUGGGUGGCGAGUGGCGAACGGGUGAGUAACAUAUCGGAACGUACCGAGUAGUGGGGGAUAACUGAUCGAAAGAUCAGCUAAUACCGCAUACGUCUUGAGAGGGAAAGCAGGGGACCUUCGGGCCUUGCGCUAUUCGAGCGGCCGAUAUCUGAUUAGCUGGUUGGUGGGGUAAAGGCUCACCAAGGCGACGAUCAGUAGCGGGUCUGAGAGGAUGAUCCGCCACACUGGGACUGAGACACGGCCCAGACUCCUACGGGAGGCAGCAGUGGGGAAUUUUGGACAAUGGGCGCAAGCCUGAUCCAGCCAUGCCGCGUGUCUGAAGAAGGCCUUCGGGUUGUAAAGGACUUUUGUCAGGGAAGAAAAGGCUGUUGCUAAUAUCAGCGGCUGAUGACGGUACCUGAAGAAUAAGCACCGGCUAACUACGUGCCAGCAGCCGCGGUAAUACGUAGGGUGCGAGCGUUAAUCGGAAUUACUGGGCGUAAAGCGGGCGCAGACGGUUACUUAAGCAGGAUGUGAAAUCCCCGGGCUCAACCCGGGAACUGCGUUCUGAACUGGGUGACUCGAGUGUGUCAGAGGGAGGUAGAAUUCCACGUGUAGCAGUGAAAUGCGUAGAGAUGUGGAGGAAUACCGAUGGCGAAGGCAGCCUCCUGGGAUAACACUGACGUUCAUGCCCGAAAGCGUGGGUAGCAAACAGGAUUAGAUACCCUGGUAGUCCACGCCCUAAACGAUGUCAAUUAGCUGUUGGGCAACUUGAUUGCUUGGUAGCGUAGCUAACGCGUGAAAUUGACCGCCUGGGGAGUACGGUCGCAAGAUUAAAACUCAAAGGAAUUGACGGGGACCCGCACAAGCGGUGGAUGAUGUGGAUUAAUUCGAUGCAACGCGAAGAACCUUACCUGGUCUUGACAUGUACGGAAUCCUCCAGAGACGGAGGAGUGCCUUCGGGAGCCGUAACACAGGUGCUGCAUGGCUGUCGUCAGCUCGUGUCGUGAGAUGUUGGGUUAAGUCCCGCAACGAGCGCAACCCUUGUCAUUAGUUGCCAUCAUUCAGUUGGGCACUCUAAUGAGACUGCCGGUGACAAGCCGGAGGAAGGUGGGGAUGACGUCAAGUCCUCAUGGCCCUUAUGACCAGGGCUUCACACGUCAUACAAUGGUCGGUACAGAGGGUAGCCAAGCCGCGAGGUGGAGCCAAUCUCACAAAACCGAUCGUAGUCCGGAUUGCACUCUGCAACUCGAGUGCAUGAAGUCGGAAUCGCUAGUAAUCGCAGGUCAGCAUACUGCGGUGAAUACGUUCCCGGGUCUUGUACACACCGCCCGUCACACCAUGGGAGUGGGGGAUACCAGAAGUAGGUAGGAUAACCGCAAGGGGUCCGCUUACCACGGUAUGCUUCAUGACUGGGGUGAAGUCGUAACAAGGUAGCCGUAGGGGAACCUGCGGCUGGAUCACCUCCUUUCUA
rnacentral:rRNA from 1 species